UUAAUUGUUAAAAUUCCAUUUUUAGCCCAAUGCCUGAUAAAGUGAUUUGGGUUUUUGAAAUUAUUAUUCAGCCAUAAAGGUUGUGCUAAAAUUCCUUUAAUGUUGUCUGCUUCUAUGGUAUUCUUAUUACAGUAUAAUUUCCAUGCCAAUAAAGCAUCUUUCCAAAAAGGAUGAUCAAUUUCAAUAAUAUUCUGAAAAUUUGCUCCAUAUUUUAGUAUAUCAUUUAAUGGAAAAUUGCAUGGGUUAUUCAUAUUUGUUUUUCUCAAAUAGAGUCUGAGUGUGGAUAAUUUCCUGGCAUUAACAAAGGUUUUAAUAUCUAUCAUGCGUAAACCCCUUCUGUAUAAUCCUUUUUCAAAGUGCUCCGUUUAAUUUUAUCAUUUUUGUCGUUCCAAAUUAAUCUGAAAAAUAGUCUCUCAAGGGAAGAAGAGAUCAGAGGAA